GCUCGUGGAUCGAUGAAGACCGCAGCUAAAUGCGCGUCAGAAUGUGAACUGCAGGACACAUGAACACCGACAAGUUGAACGCAUAUUGCACAUCGUACAACAGUACGAUGUACACAUUUUUGAGUGCCUAUACUUAUCGAUUUAACUAUGCGCGGGGCGGCGUGUGUGUGUGUGGGUGCGCGGUGUUGUGCGCGCGUUCGAGUCGCCGGCGCGCGAUGUUUGGACAUGCGGGUACACGGCCACACCGUACGCGCCCUUCACACGCCCUGUGCGCAUGCGCAGUGAUGAUGUAAAACAUUGAAGAUAGUCAGACGCGCGCGCGACGCGCGGUUGAUGAGAGUACAAUCCCAUACUCCAGCUUGGCUUGGAUACGUUGUACUUACUCGUUGACAGACGACAGACAGGGUAUAUAUAUAUAGUAGGCCUCAAAUAAUGUGUGACUACCCCCUAAAUUUAAGC
rnacentral:rRNA from 1 species